AUUGAACGCUGGCGGCAUGCUUUACACAUGCAAGUCGAACGGUAACAGGCCGCAUGGUGCUGGCUAGUGGCGAACGGGGGAGUAAUGCAUCUGAACGUGUCCCGGCGUGGGGGGUAACUAGUCGGGAGAGUAGCUAAUACCCCAUACGAUCUCUGGGUGAGAGCGGGGGACCGUAUGGCCUCGCGCGAUUUGAGCUGCCGAUGGGAGGGUAGGUAGUGGGUGGGGUAAAAGCUCACCACACGAACGAUAUGCGUCUGGUCUGAGAGAACGAGCAGACACACUGGGACUGACACGGCCCAGACUCCUACGGGAGGCAGCAGUGGGGAAUUUUGGACAAUGGGCGAAAGCCUGAUCCAGCAAUGCCGCGUGCAGGAAGAAGGCCUUCGGGUUGUAAACUGCUUUUGUACGGAACGAAACGGAUCUGGUUAAUACCCGGGGCUAAUGACGGUACCGUAAGAAUAAGCACCGGCUAACUACGUG
rnacentral:rRNA from 1 species